GCCUAGUUAGCUUAGUUGGUAGUGCGUCUGCCUUGUAAGCGCUAGGCCGCGGGUUCGAUUCCCGCACGGGGC
rnacentral:tRNA from 1 species